CUGGUACACGGAGCUCCCAAAUGAACAGGGAGUGAGAGGUACCAUAACAAUUCCUGCAUGAAAUCUAUAUAUAAGCCUUACUCAUGAAGUAUAAAGCAUGUCGUGAAUCCUCCCGAAAGAGAGGAGUGCCUUCAGGAAAGCGGACACAGGUGGUGCAUGGUUGUCGUCAGCUCGUGCUAUAAGGUGUUGGGUUAAGUCCUGCAACGAGCGCAACGCUCAUGUUUAGUUGCCAGCAUUGAGUUUGGAACCAUGACCAGACUGUCGGUGAUACGCCGGAGGAAGGUGAGGAUGACGUCAAGUCAUCAUGCCCCUUACGCCCUUGGCGACACACGUGCUACAAUGACCGGGAUAAAGGGUCGUGACCCUAUGAGAGCAAGCUAACCUCAAAAACCCAGCCUCAGUUCUGAUUGCAGGUUGCAACUCACCUGCAUGAAGCUGGAAUCACUAGUAAUCGUCGGUCAGCCAUACGAUGGUGAAUAUGUUCCUGGGCCUUGUACACAUCGCUUGUCACACUAUGGGCGUUGGCCAUGCCCCAAGUCAUUACCUUAACCGCAGGGAGGGGGAUAUAAAAGUUAAUUGUCUUAAAAUAAAUUUAUUUUAAUUCAAGAGUUAUUAAAUACUUAAA
rnacentral:ncRNA from 1 species